CAAUAGCGUAUAUUAAAGUUGUUGCGGCUAAAAAGCUCGUAGUUGGAUUUCUGUUGAGAAGGGCCGGUCCGCAUUUUGUGCGUGUAUCUGGUUCCGUCUUGGCAUCCUCUUGGGGAACGUUACUGCGCUUCACUGCGUGGUGCGGUAUUCAAGACUUUUACUUUGAGGAAAUUAGAGUGUUCACGACAGGCAAUCGCCCUGAAUAUACUAGCAUGGAAUAAUAAUAUAGGACCUUGGUUCUAUCUUGUUGGUUCUGAGAGCUAAGGUAAUGAUUAAUAGGGAUAAUUGGGGGCAUUCGUAUUAACGUGUCAGAGGUGGAAUUCUUGGAUUACGUUACGACGAACUAAUGCGAAAGCAUUUGCCAAGGAUGUUUUCAUUGAUCAAGAACGAAAGUACGGGGAUCGAAGAUGAUUAGAUACCAU
rnacentral:rRNA from 1 species